ensembl:lncRNA
UUUCCGUUUUUUUAUUCAGUUGUGUUCUUAGCGUCUCUUCGAUGGCCCAAGUUCCUAUCUUCAGUUCCACUUCUGCCCUUUCUCUCCGUUUAGUACAUACAAUAUAGAAGUUUCGGAUUUAUCCAAUACCCCUUAUUAUAAUUCUCUCUCUCCCUCUAUCUAACCACCAACAAUCUUAAUGGAAACAAUUACAAGCACAUUGCAUUUUAACAUAAACAGUUACAAAUAGACAAAACAAGACAAAACAACACGUUAUAUCUCUGACCCCUGAAAGCCGAUCCUUAUCAGUGAACCUCUAUCAGACUGGCCGUACCGGGUCACGGGUCCCAAAAUUACAAUUUGUCCCCUCGGCGCCAGAUUUGAUGAAUAGUAAUUAGCUAUCCCCUACUGAUCUCUAUUCCUGAUCCCUAUCGAGCUGACCCCUAUCAGAAUUAUCACACAUGUCCGACCCCUAUCGGUGAAUCUCUAUCAGACUGGCCGUACCGGGUCACGGGUCCCAAAAUUACAAUUUGUCCCCUCGGCGCCAGAUUUGAUGAAUAGUAAUUAGCUAUCCCCUACUGAUCUCUAUUCCCGACCCCUAUCGGAACUAUCCAGGCCUUAAAAGUGAUCACUCAUCAUUGAAAGCUAGCAGACUGUGCUGACCGGGUCACGGGUCCCAAAAUUACAAUUUGUCCCCUCGGCGCCAGAUUUAAUGAAUAGUAAUUAGCUAUCCCCUUACUGAUAUCUCAUCAAUGAUUUAAAUCACACCGGCCGUCGCCGGUUCGUUACUACAUAUGUUCACAUACACUGUUCUUUCGACUCGUCAGCAAAUUAUAAAUUUACACAAGAAUUCAUACUUACUCGGAAAAAAAACUGAUCAAAAUUUGGACAGACUAUACGACAAUAUGCAAAGUUUGAUUUAACAGGCUUUGCCUACCUUUUUUAUGGUGCACCUUGAGAUCAGUUUUCCGAGUUGAGCAGAAUUGUUGUCCUCCCCCGAAAGUCUUCACCCGUCCUCCGUGAACCGUCCUUUCACCAACUCGCCUUCUCACACCCAAAUCAACUCACUUCGACUGGAUCGUUAGUAAACCAUCCUCUGCCUACCAAGUUCUGUUAGAAAUUAGAUAUGUAGACGGGCGAGUCGGUCAAGGAUCGAUUCAGACAAGGUGGUAAAUUGUAUGACAAGCGACAGUUUAUUCAGAGUGAAGAUAUCUAGAACAGCGUAAAUACGGCUCCUCCGCUGGUUCGUACGGAACUG